UGGGGAAUUUUGGACAAUGGGGGAAACCCUGAUCCAGCAAUGCCGCGUGAGUGAAGAAGGCCUUCGGGUUGUAAAGCUCUUUUGUCAGGGAAGAAACGGUUCUGGCUAAUAUCCAGAGCUAAUGACGGUACCUGAAGAAUAAGCACCGGCUAACUACGUG
rnacentral:rRNA from 1 species